rnacentral:rRNA from 1 species
AUGGUGCCGCCUGUGUACCAGGAGCCUAGUAUCAUGCCGAUCAAUACAAGAACGGAGAAGGAGUUGGAAGAAAAGGAGGUGUUAUGCACGCACAAAAAGCCCAAAGCUACAGGGUGUGUUGCCCAACUGCAGCAGGAAAUUGAACUCGCCAUUGAGAGUGAGAAUAAAGGGCAUGGUGAUCCUUCACCAAAAGAGUCUGCUUGUGUGGUGCUGAGCAAUGGUGAAGCAAAUGGUUGCAGUGAGGGGCAUGUUCUUGGCGGUGCAAAUGCAGAACCAGAAGCAAGGUUGAGACUGGCUCAACUCUGCAGUGCAAUUGGCUGGAAGAGUCCAACAUAUGAGUUUGAAGAACAUGGACAUGGCCAUACAAAACUGUUCACAUGCAAGGUGAGUGUUCUUGUGGAGACGUUCACAGACACUGUUGUGGAGUGCAUCAGUGAACCCAAACCCCAGAAGAGAGCUGCCGAGGAACAAGGUGCUGAAGGUGUGUUAUGGACCCUCAAGUGCCUUGGUCAUGUGAAAUAG